rnacentral:tRNA from 1 species
AUUGAGGUGUCUGAUUUAGGUGGUAAACUGUAAAUUUAUUAAAGAAUUUUUAUUCUCUCAAUA